CACUCUGCAAGCUGGGUGGCUCAGUGGGAGCAGAACUCCGGUUUCUCCACUCUUAAUCUGGUCUACUUCCUAAGUGGAGAGGCUGGUCUCAACAGGCUUGUCAACAGUAGAGCCUUAUCUAGCAAGCAACGAUGACGCCAGUAUGUGUGGCCAGGCAACAGCUGCAGCCAAGUCACCUGAUCCCAGGAACAAGGAGUCACCCUUGUCUUGGCACAGACACAUCCAGUUCCAGCUGAGGGCAUGGCUGGCGGUCUGCCAUGGCCAGCAAGACGGGUGCCCAGUGGCUUCUCUGCACAAAGAACAGGUUGCAAAGUUCUCCCUCCAUUUUGUACCAAGGUGCCAGCUUCUGGCAACUACAAGCCCCAACACGCACUGCAUUCUACUCAGUUAAAAAGCUGUGAAAGAAAUCUGUAUACUUGAGAGAAAGGGUUACACACAAAUUGAGCGGCUUCUGGAAAGUCCCUGUCCUCUAAAAAUAAUGAGCAAACGACUGGCACAAGACAAUCACCGAUAAUAAAAAUUUGAAUUAGAAGCCUAAUU